AACGCACCUUGCACCCUUUGGUAUUCCAAAGGGUAUGCUCGUUUGAGUGUCAUUGUACUCUCACACUCUCUGAUCUUGCAUUGGAGAGCGGUGGACUUGGAUGUUGCUGCUUUGCUGUGGCUCAUCUGAAAUGGGUUAGUGCAUCUCAUGGUUGGACUAGUACAGCGUGAUAAGCAUCUUCGCUGGCACCUUUCAUUGGGGCCCAACUUGGAGCUCUGUGCUUCAAACUGUCCUUGCGACAAAUAUCUGACAACUUGACCUCAAAUCGAGUAGGACUACCCGCUGAACUUAA
rnacentral:misc_RNA from 2 species